rnacentral:rRNA from 20 species
CCUGGCGGCACUAGCGCGGUGGUCCCACCUGACCCCAUGCCGAACUCAGAAGUGAAACGCCGUAGCGCCGAUGGUAGUGUGGGGCCUCCCCAUGCGAGAGUAGGGAACUGCCAGGC